AAAGUGGUGCGUCUAUGGCUACUUUUAAGGGCGUCAAAUACAUAGACUGGUUCUAAUUUAUGUCUGAGAUAUUAGGAUAAGAAUUAAUCAGACUUUGCUUGUAAUGGCCACGUCAACAGGGCAGUUAUAAGUGAGCUUAAACUGAUUGACUAAGCAUGUAGGUAUUUUUCGGGAUUCUAUUUCGGACGGGAGUUCAAUUCUCCCCGCCUCCACAU
rnacentral:tmRNA from 1 species